rnacentral:rRNA from 1 species
CCUACGGGUGGCUGCAGUGGGGAAUAUUGGACAAUGGGGGGGAACCCUGAUCCAGCCAUGCCUCGUGUGUGAAGAAGGCCCUCGGGUUGUAAAGCACUUUCAGUGAGGAAGAACGCCUGGUGGUUAAUACCCAUCAGGAAAGACAUCACUCACAGAAGAAGCACCGGCUAACUCCGUGCCAGCAGCCGCGGUAAUACGGAGGGUGCGAGCGUUAAUCGGAAUUACUGGGCGUAAAGCGCGCGUAGGUGGCUUGAUAAGCCGGUUGUGAAAGCCCCGGGCUCAACCUGGGAACGGCAUCCGGAACUGUCAAGCUAGAGUGCAGGAGAGGAAGGUAGAAUUCCCGGUGUAGCGGUGAAAUGCGUAGAGAUCGGGAGGAAUACCAGUGGCGAAGGCGGUCUUCUGGACUGACACUGACACUGAGGUGCGAAAGCGUGGGUAGCAAACAGGAUUAGAUACCCCGGUAGUC